rnacentral:rRNA from 1 species
AGAUUGAACGCUGGCGGCAUGCUUUACACAUGCAAGUCGAACGGCAGCACGGGGGCAACCCUGGUGGCGAGUGGCGAACGGGUGAGUAAUAUAUCGGAACGUACCCGGAAAUGGGGGAUAACGUAGCGAAAGUUACGCUAAUACCGCAUAUGCCCUGAGGGGAAAGCGGGGGAUUCGACAAGAACCUCGCGUUUUCGGAGCGGCCGAUAUCGGAUUAGCUAGUAAGUGAGGUAAAGGCUCACCGUAGGCGACGAUCCGUAGCCUGGUCUGAGAGGACGACCAGCCACACUGGAACUGAGACACGGUCCAGACUCCUACGGGAGCAGCAGUGGGAAUUUGGACAAUGGGACGCGAAGCCGUUAGAUCCAGGCCAGUCGACCGCGUGAGUGAAACGGAAGGCCGUUCGGGUUAGUAAA